rnacentral:lncRNA from 1 species
AGAGACAAGGUUUCACCAUGUUGCCGGAGUUGAUCUUGAACUCCUGGGCUUAAGCCGCCUCAACUUCUCAAGGUUUUGGAAUUACAGGUGUGAGCCCCUGUGCCUGGCCUGAAGCAACAGAAAAAAAAUUGUCAGCACUGUUCCAAUGGGCUUCUUCCACAACCAAGCAUGCUGACUACACAGGAAGCACUUGACUCAGAACUUAAAUAUUACCAUGAUGACUUCAGCAGGGAAAAAUGAGAUUAAUUUGAGUUCCAUGUCAUUAUUUUUCGGUCCUCUAUGACCACCCAGAUGUUUGAAAUUGAUCAUCACUGACAGUUUCAACAUUUGGUCUAGCAAUUCCUUAGAAAUCCAAGGUAUGCUGACAAAAUCUAGUUUCCUGAAU